rnacentral:rRNA from 2 species
UCCAGAGAUGGAUUGGUGCCUUCGGGAACUGUGAGACAGGUGCUGCAUGGCUGUCGUCAGCUCGUGUUGUGAAAUGUUGGGUUAAGUCCCGCAACGAGCGCAACCCUUAUCCUUUGUUGCCAGCGGUUAGGCCGGGAACUCAAAGGAGACUGCCAGUGAUAAACUGGAGGAAGGUGGGGAUGACGUCAAGUCAUCAUGGCCCUUACGACCAGGGCUACACACGUGCUACAAUGGCGCAUACAAAGAGAAGCGACCU